AUGUGGACGCGCCGCGAGGCCGCCGCCGGCCCUUCGCUCUCUCCUCCGGGCGCCGCGCCCGCCCCGCCUGCCUCCGAGGCACUGCGCCUCGCCGCUACGGGUCCCCCAGGGGAGCGUGGCGAGAGUGGAGUGCUGGGAGGCUGGGGCUCGUGGGUUCCUCCAUCCCCUUCCCUGCGCGGUGAAGGCACGCGGCCGUGGGGUCCAGGACGAGCGUCUGCAGAGGAGCGGGAUCUGGAAGGCUUGGGCCAGCUCUGAAAGCCCCAGGACCCAAAGAAAAGUUAACACUCACCGAGACCGACACAGCUACUAGAACGUGUGCAUUUGAAAACAACAGCAAGAUACUGGUAAUAGCAAUCGGAGGAAAACUAAAGAAGCUUGGGAGGCCUGGCUGAAUGACAGAUGAAGAACGGAGGCAGAGAAAAGAGGGAGUGGGAGAGAAGCCUCAGGCUGGGUCUCCAGAGCAUGAGGGGAAACAGAAGCUGGAGAGCUGGUCAGAGAACCAGAGACGGAAAGACAGGUCUGAACCAGUGCCAAGACUAGACCCUGUAGGAUCCUGGGUUUACAUCGGUUAUAUAAGCAAACCAGUUUUUGCUGUGAUCUGGAAGAGUCAAAACCAUGAAUGUUUUUCAGCUUCUAUUUUGUCAGCUGCUUGACUUUCUAUUCUGAGAGGUGCUAACUGUUAAACAUUGUUAUUCACUUGUGUUCCCUAAAUAACUUUUAAUUAGUUUUAAUUUGGACCAAGAAUGUUCUACUGUUGACACAAUGACAGGAAUUAUCAAAAAUAAAACGAAUAAAGAACUCACUUCAGAAAAAACUUGCACUAAUAUUACAGUAUUUUAAAAUGUCUAUCUCAGCAGAGACACAGCUAAUUUACAUUUUUAAAUUUUAUUUUUUGAUGACUUUCCUCAAAGCCAUAAUCACAUUGGUAAAAAGGUCACCAAAACAUUAUUUUUCACCUUGCAUGCAUUUUUCACAGUGGAAUUUUUCUAUUAUUUUUCAGUGGAAUGAAUGCUUGGUGCAAGAAAUGUAACCAAAUCAGUAACCAGAUGUAAUCUUUAAAGCCCUGUGUUUUGCUGGAUAGUGACUAUUUAUUACACAGUGAAAAAUGAGGAGCAGUAAUCCUUUCACCUUAAAAAUUGCCAAAGAAUGGGUGCCUAGGUGGCACAGUCGAUUAAGUGUCUGACUCUUGGCCUUGGCUCAGGUUGUGAUCUCAGGGUCUUGAGAUCGAGCCCCGUGUCAGGCUCCACACUCAGCUGGGAGUCCGCUUGAGAUUUUCUCUCUCCCCUUCCUCUGCCCAUCCCCAUGCUCGUGCACUCUCUCCCUCAAAUAAAUAAAUAAAUCUUUUAGAGAAAAUAAAAUAAAAAUUGCCAAUGAAAAGUUUGUCAUGCCUGUCAGAAUAUCAUAAAGCAGACAAUACAAGGAAUUCAAAAAUAGUGUUGGAGUUUUUCGUCAAAUCCCCCCUCUUCCGUCAGUUGUCCCCUAAUCAUUAGGGCAUGAUUCUAACAAAGCCUCAAACAUUCCUUUGUCUGAAAAAAGUGACCCACUAUCAAAGAGCUAGUAAUCUUGGGGUCAGCCCUUUGUCUUUUCCAAAGUGA